ACCAGCCAGGCCUGUAACCACGCCCCCUCACUACGCAACCAAGAUGGCGGCACGGCGUGUUUGAUGUGAUGGGGGAGAGUUUUUAUUUUUUUUAUUGUUUUUUAGUUAUUGUUUGACGUUUUUCUAGUGCGGUUCCAGCUUGGUGCUUUUUAAGAGUUUCAGCAAGAGAAGAAACGGCGGGUUUGAAGCAAGAAUCCGCGUCGUAGCUUGAGUUGAGUUGAGGUGUUGCGAGUCCAGUGUCGCUGCGGUUUGCUCGAGGGAUGAAGGAUUGCGCUCCAUCGACGCGCAGCAAGGGUUGGUUGAGGAUGAGGCCCUGAUCUGAAGAGGCUGGGUUUGGCUCGAUGGGAACUGAAGAGAGUGGUCCUGUCCCAUGUUCCCUCCCCUUAAUAAAAGUGGUUGUGGUGUGUUGGCUCAUCAUUGUUUCCUUCUCUCUUUGCAAAUGUCUUUUCCUAAGAGCUCCAGCAGUUCAGUCCUCCUUCUCUAUAAAAGGAGGAAAGAGAAAAGGGAGGGAAAGGUAGAUAG